GAUUUGCUACUUAAUGAUAAACUCACACGGUAAAAAGAUAAAACCGAAGCAGCGACGACAGGCGGAGCAAAGUUGAUAAGAAACAAUCAAGCUACAUGUAGAUAAAAUUUAUGAAGAUAAAAAAGAGAAAAUACUACAGACAGGAUAAACAUAUUUUUCGAAAAGAUUAUUUUUUGGAGAAGCAGAAAAAUAAAAACUUGUUGGAUGUGGUAUAUCAAGAUCUUGACUUAUCCGCAGUUGAUUAAAACUAUCCUUGAUUUCUGAUAGAACACAACACUAACAAAGUUGAAAGCAAGUGUGGAAAAUGUGGUCAUGGUGGGCCAUUUUGAAAAGGGACGUGUCCGGUUGGUGUGCUACUAACAUUAUUUGUGUACGCUAACAGUUACUGACGAAGCUCGAAGUACCGAUGUCGAGGUCAAAAGGUGUCUGGACUUCGGCCAGAGGUGAGCAAUUUUUGACCUUUUCUAAAUAAACCUUUAAAUUCUUAGUUAAAACGAGAAGAUGGUGAUAAAAACUAGUCAAUGACAUUGUUCUUGGUCAUGGAGUAAAAGAACUGUCAUUUUAACUAAUCGAUGAUCGACUUUUUUCUGUUAUGGAGUCAAAUUCGCCUUUUCUUGAAACAUCUGACACAUGAAUAGGCGAAAUCGUUCCACAAUUUUUGAAGUUAGGAAAGUGCGGACUUUGCAUCACUGUACAAAGAAUAUAAAGGAUAAGGAGAUGAAUGUGGUUUACAGUCCGUAGCCGUGUUUUGUAUCCAGUGAUACACGAUCCGAAGCGCUUUGAACAAAAAAAAAGGCAAACAAAAAAGCAAAGGGAAAAGUGUAGAUGUGAUAAUCUCCUUAUCUACGUUUUUGCCUUGGUUCUUUGUUGCUUUCUCGCACGCUCCGCGGCACCGGUUCCUCCCUAAUUGCGCGCUUGGAAGUAAACUGUGAAAACCACCAUCCGGACCCAAAUUCGACGGUUUUGCAACUGGACGUGUCGACACCCGGCCUGUGUUUAGGGUCUGAUGAGGGCAAAUGUCAGGUCGCACUUUCCCAGGAGAAGAUGUUCCCUUGUGCAACGCUUGUGCAACCCUGCUCCACCCGGCCAGCACGUAUCUCCCUCACACUGGAAACCGUCCCUGCUUGGAAAGUCCUUUAAUUCGAGACACGUGACGCUGUUAUAAAAGCAUCAAGUCUUUAGCACACGGAUUGCCCAACCCGAUCACGUCUGUUUUGAGCCGAAAUAUCCUCCGGGCCUGCGAAAACUUUUUUCCCCUGCCCGCAGAGACGUGCGUUCGGGGUGCGGUAGCGUGGUCCGCGGAUAGGACACACCGUGACCAACGCCCUUUCACGGAAUCGCCUCUGACCAAAAGCGGCUCGGUCAGAUUUAUCUCCGGUCCCGUGUUUUACGGCGUCGUAAACUUCCAAAUUAACCUCAAGAACGGAGAGAAAACGAACCACGUGUAAAUAAAACAAGCAUCUUUUUUCGAAUUUAUUUUUUCCGAGGAUAUUUACGACUGUCCAAACCAUAUGGUGAAUACGUGACCAAAUAUUUCAUAGGUAUCCUUGGAAACAGUCGGACCGGAAACCAAUUUUAAACAUGAUAACAUUGAAACCGUUCAUCGCAACAUCCUGCGUGUCAGAUUGCAAAACAGACCUUCACUACCUAAGAUUACACAUCCCUAAGUAAACAAAGACCACGUGGGCGACAUGGCUACAGUCAGGGCCAGCUUUGUUUCAAGUCUCUUCUGAAGAAAACAAACGUAACCUACAAACUGAAAAUCUUCUGCCCUGAUUACUUCUGCUGAAUAGGAAAUAACACGAUCACUGGACUGAAGUAAUCUACAAAUCUCCUAUUGAGAUUUGAAAAGGGUUCAGUUACAGAAUGAAUUAGCAGAAACAUGAAGAAUUCUAAGAUCCUUUGAAAGUGAAGACUCAAUGGACAUCUAAGAAAGAUCGAAGGAGAAAAAACUCCAAGGGACUGCGGAGCUACAAUUAACUACAAGAGGAAAUGUUUAGGAACUCAUAACCCAACAGAAAAUAAAACCAUGGGGGAAUAAUAUAAAUCAGCAAAGACUUAGGAUUAACAGGUUGUAAGUACAGAAAACAAGAAACAGUACAUCUUAAAAAUAGUAUUUAAAAAAACCAUACAUUUCUAAUUUAAUGAGUGUAAAAAUCCAUUUAGCUGUUCGAUCAACACUUUGUCUAGCCAAAGAACAUAUUCAAAUUUGACCUCAGGGAGUAUUUCGCCCGAAAACGGGUUUAAGCCUCUCACUUUUUAUAAAACCCGCCUUGAACUGUCUAAUGUAUUUAUUUAAAUCCCUCUAGGUCAGAGAUAAAAAGAGGGAGAAAGGAUUACCAAUUACGCGCAAUGGACAAUUACUUCAAAAAUACGUUUCAGGAACAAUACCACGACCUUGGCCUAAUAGGAUAAAAUGGACUAUACAUACAUAAUAUGAAAAAUAUUGUACAAAAAUUUUAACACUAAAGUUUGAAACCUUACUUUUGCAAACAAGAGCGAAAAAACUUAAAAGAUCGCCCUAGAUUCAAGCACGUUCUAUUUGUUGUCCCUCCGAUAUUUUCGACAUACUAUUUUCUUCGCUGGGAUCGGAUUGUUUUCUGAGGGCAACGACAUCUCAGGGAAAGGAGGCCGAAAUUAGAACGCAAUUGAUAGGCCAUAAGUCUCACUUAUUGUUUAACAAAACUGCUUAUGAAGAGACGGGGCUGAAAAGGGAAGGCGCGGUCAAUCCGUGCGGAAAAGGGAAAUAACGACCCAGGGCGAUUUUUCACCCCGCGGGUUCCUUCUUCAACAUGAAAAUAAAACAUU